rnacentral:rRNA from 1 species
UUUGUCCUACGGGAGGCAGCAGUGGGGGAUAUUGCACAAUGGGGGAAACCCUGAUGCAGCGACGCCGCGUGAGUGAAGAAGUAUUUCGGUAUGUAAAGCUCUAUCAGCAGGGAAGAAAGAAAUGACGGUACCUGACUAAGAAGCCCCGGCUAACUACGUGCCAGCAGCCGCGGUAAUACGUAGGGGGCAAGCGUUAUCCGGAUUUACUGGGUGUAAAGGGAGCGUAGACGGCGAUGCAAGUCUGAAGUGAAAGGCGGGGGCCCAACCCCCGCGCUGCUUUGGAAACUGUAUAGCUGGAGU